UACAGAGGGUGCGAGCGUUACUCGGAAUUACUGGGCGUAAAGCGCACGUAGGCGGCUUGGUAUGUCGGGUGUGAAAUCCCCGGGCUCAACCUGGGAACUGCAUCCGAAACUGCCCUGCUAGAGUAUGGGAGAGGGAAGUGGAAUUUCCGGUGUAGCGGUGAAAUGCGUAGAUAUCGGAAGGAACAUCAGUGGCGAAGGCGACUUCCUGGACCAAUACUGACGCUCAGGUGCGAAAGCGUGGGGAGCAAACAGG
rnacentral:rRNA from 1 species